ensembl:lncRNA
UUUUUUUUUUUUUGCUCUAAUGCAUUGCUGCGUGACAGCCAUUUAUCGUCCUCCUCUGUGACAUUUACUGGGUGCAACGACACUCAUAGGACACAUUUAGAUCCGUCUCAUCCGCAUGCGCCGCUCCAAACAUCAAUCUGGGAAUUGUCUCGAAGCUUUGGGGCGAUAAACCUCAUCGGGUACGGUUAUUUGUUAAAAUAUAGACCUUGUCCUUCUAUAGUAUGUUUUCUUCUAUGUGGGUAAUCAAGAAAAGCUUGUAUGGCCAUUGAAUGAAUUCAUCAAAUGUUGUGUUUGUUUAACAAUGAGCUGGCUGAACGGUUAAGGUGCCACUGCUGCCAGAGAAGUUGAUUUGUGAGACGCAAAUGGGGAAUGGGAAAGGACAUAAGAAACAUCCAUAAAACCAUUGGUGAUGUCAAAAACCUCUCACUUUUCCACAUUCCUGGGAUGCUUAUUAAAUAAUUAUUUGCUGUACAUAUGUAUUAUGCUCCUGCGUGUCUCACAAAGUCCAUCAUUAGCUUACUAUCAAGAGCAGACCCAUCACAAAUUUGAACCCAUCUUCCCCUCUCUUUUCCCUUUGUGAGCAUUCCGUCCACGUCAGCGUUAAUGAGUGCGUUCUAUAGUUGCUAGCUGCUCGCACAUUCUCAUCUACUUGUUAUGCAGUAAUGAAUCAGACUCUCUUAUGAGUGCACUGUGGCAUGCUGAGAAGAAACUGUGGAGGCUACUUAGAGGCACAUCUCGGUUGGGUGGAUCAUGAUGUCAGCUCUGUUAGCAGAUGCAUUAUUUUCUUUUUUCUCGCUUUUGCUCACACAUGUGUUCCUUACGCGUUGUGACUGAUUACUAAUUUUGUUUUUAACCAACAUGGCUAAUUCAGGUCUUUAGUUCUAGUAGCCCCAACAUAGCAAUGCUGCCCCCUAGUGCAUGCAGCAAUCGACACCCAGCUUAAAAUAUAUCUGGAUCUGUGGUUUGGCCUAUAAAAUAAAGACGCCCCUUUUCAAUAUAGUUUGAAUUAAAUUCCAAACUGUUUGACAUGAUUGGUUUGUACAAUUUGCAUUAUGCAAAAGAGACAUUCCAGUUCUGCUUGCACUCUACAGGGAGAAAGAAAAGAGUAAGACAGUGUCGUUACCUGAGUCAGCGUGGCUGUGAUUUUGCAGCUUUGGAUGUGUAGCUGGCACCAAUCCAAGAGCAUGCCAUGCCUUCCAUUCUUCAAAGUGCAUUUAUAUUACUAGCACUCUUGGCAGGCAAGCCUCUCUGGCGGUUAAAGCUGAAGCGCCUCCCAGACUGACGAUGAUUACGAUGGCCAUAACAUAAAAACUGUUAUUGGCCUUGUUUGGUGAUGGUUAUUACAAGUGUAUCUAAAAACCCACACAUACAUCUCCCUCCAAGCCACUUCUUCGGGGCUGUAGCCGCAUAUACGCACUAAUGAAUAGGUGAUUUCAGUGAUUCGACAUGUGUCAUAAAUAUUAAAUGGCUCACUGCCCUUGGUUACCUUUCCUGCCAGCCACAGCCGUUGUCAUGUAUACCGGAGCUGUUGAGCUUUUUACUUAUUGACAGAGGAGACGGUAGGGGACGUUUCAAAGAGAAACGCCUCCAAGGAGUUCAGAUCUCUGUGGUAAGAUAGUUCUUUAUAAUGUUACACAAGUAAUGUAUCUGUUGAGGGCAUAACCUAUGUACUGCAUUUUUUUGUGACUUGUGUUGGUAGGUGACAACAGAUGAUUACAAUAAAGACUUUAAGACUGAUUCAAUAAUAACUUACAACAUUAAUUUGUUUUUUAUUACGUAGUAUUUUGUAAUUAAUGACAUAUAUACCACAUAAAUGGAAUUCAUUAUUUUUAAUUACAUGUAUUUAACUUUCACUACACUACUGCUCUCUGCUUGUCAUCCAGCAGAGAGCAUCUUGAAAGUCGCAAAUAGACGACUGUCUGCCAUUCCAAAGAGGAUAACACUUAUCAGUGGAGACAGUCUUUAACUAAGCAGCCAAAGGUGUGAAAAUGAGCAACUAAAUGAGCGUGAAGGAGGGUGUUGAUGGAAAAAAGAGCAUAUGUGUUCACGAGAUUACUAAAAUUAGGCUCAAAAUAACAAUGUUCCACACAAUGGUUUACUCCGACUGCCUUACCUUAAAUCUGCUUGUUGUUUCAUGAGCAGUUCCCUGACUUCUAAAGAUAAAGCUAUAACUUAUUGUUCCCCUUAAUACGCAAUCAGCCCAUUUUGCCGAGCAAAGGCAGGCGGACAAAUUAAUUUGAUAUCUAAGAAAAUUGGUGGGAAUAAUCUGUUCCCGUUUAGAUUGUGGCAUUGAGUCCCUAUCCGGUGGAGGUGAGGUUUGCCUUUGUUAUAUUAUUGCCUGCCAAGCCAUACAGUUUACUUUAGAUCCCGCACAAUAAGCAACAAUACAAACACUCCCCAACACUUCUCACGGCUGGGAGGCCGAAGCUGUAAAAUGCCCAGAUUGAUAGAGCAAUGUUCAAUUCCUCCCCCGAGUUAGAAGGGCAAACUCCUGUGGCGCUCCUACAUCAAGCAGGCCUUCCCUGUGAAUCGGACCUGGAGAUAAACUUUCCCAGACAGCAAUGCCUCAUCAGUGGCAGCAGCAACGGGGCCCUCUUUUAUUGCCAGGGAACCAAUGUUGGACAAUUAACGGCUCACCAUGGUCCCUAGCACAAAAUACUAGAAUGGCCAGGUAAGCACGGCCUCUGUCUUUCACUUUCCCCGUGCUUGCCCAAUUCCCUUUCCCCAACGCACUACCACCACCACUAACUCUUCUAUCCCCAAACCGCAAGCCCCGGGCCUCGCUGCAAUGCAUCUCUCCUUGCACUCUGCUCUAUAAAUUGCCAACAGCACGAAAAGGCAGAUACAAAUAAAGGUGAUUUAGCCCAAAGAGAUGCUGAGCGAUUGCUCUCAUUAGUCCGGAGUGGAGACCAAAGUCGAGACUUAACUGAGAGGGAUUCCUGGCCAUUAGUGCCAUGGCAGCAGCUGUAUUGAUAGGUUUUUAAUAAGACGCUACAUUAAUGGUUAUCAUGAGUGAGUGGGUUUAUGGUAAUGAGAAAAGGCAGAGGAGGGGAUAGGGUCUCAAAUGUGUCUUCUGUCAAAUUCAGUCUCAGCUCGGCCGCUGCUGCCAGCAGCUUAAGCGUGAACCUUUGCAGGUUGACAAUCUGUGCAACACAAUCUCCCUCCACGGUCUGCAUAUAGAGAAUGGAGAUUUUUGUCUCUUUUUUUAGUCACAAAUUGAGUGACGUGAAUAUGGAAAUGGGAGGGAGGGGUGUCAGUGAUGAACGGCGCCAGAGGGAUGUCUCCUGUGUGCACAAAAGUCUUCAUUUCCUCCUAUUAAUCAGUUGGACUAAUUCUUCCCUUGUUCCAUUUUUAACCCUACAGUGUCACUGCCUCCAGUUGCUCUAAUUGAAAUAUUAGCAGCCGGUUAACUAAAUGAAGACAAUUUAAUCAGUCCCCUUUUCAGGCCCUCCCAGUCUUUGUAUUUUUUUUUCCUUUUUCCCCAUGCGACAAUGUGAUCUUUCUAUUAAAGAGAAUAAGUUGAGAGAUCAAUUUAGUGAUUUUUUUUAUUUUAACUAAGCUGACAACUGUAUUGUCGGAGAAGCAGAUUCUAACAUUGUUUGAAUGAUAAGCUUGCCAAAGAGAGUCUUUUUCGUACUCUGGCAGUUUCACUGUUCACCUGUAGAGAUCCAGAAAAAGAUGAGUAUGCUGUGCACCGUAGCCGGCAACAAGGCCAAUGAAAUUGAAAUGGUCCCAUUCUUUCCAAAGCAAAUCUUAACUUUCAAAACAUACCCUAAUUCAAUAGAUUCAAAAUUAGUCUGACAGAGGUUAUUAAAUCAGUUUCAGUGAGGAAAAUAUAUGCUCCACACCUUUCCGGCUCGCAAGCUACUUUUCAACUAACCAAGUCAGACGAUCUAUCCCCUCCCCGCUGGCUGACGGGGGGGACCGGCCGGUAAAUAGUAGUGGUGACGAGCUCCAACAGCGCCUAACGAGUCAAUAUGAAGAAAACAACGAGCUGUCAGAAGGAGGAAACCGUCACAAGCAUCACGCAAAUUAAAUGCGUCCGUUAGUAAGCUAGGAUUGCUAAUAAGCAUUAGCAUUAGUUUCGGUCACCUCCCACGGUAGACCGCGCAUGCGUUACGUGACGUCCUUCGCAAUCGACCUAUUGGGCACAUCUGCGGUAGAGCAUUGUUUCUGACAAAUUAUUGUAACGUGGUUGGUUCUUAGGGGGUCCCAAGUGGACGACGUACACAAGCGUUGGAUUGUAAUCAGUUUUAUUCUACACCUUGCCAGAUCCCUCGCCUCACUUCUUCUCUCUCUCCUCGCCGGAUUGCCACUGCUGCUUAAGUAGAAGGGGAGACAAACAAUUCAAGCCAUUGAAUACAGCUGAGGCAAAUUAAGCCUCCACCUGGUGUGGCGCAUGGAGUAGAGGGUAGAGGGUGCGCUGUGAAGGGUUGUUGGUUCGUACCCCGGCUGCUCCAUGUCCCGCACCGAAGUGGCCCUGAGCAAGACACCUAACCCCUAACUGCUCCCUGGGCGCCUUUCGGGCAGCACACUGCUCCCACUGUGUGGAAUGGCUUAAAUGCAGAGAAGCAUUUCGUUGUCUCAGUACCCUGUACUUCUUCUUCUCUGCAGCAGAGCCAAACCACACCAGACACCACAAUUAUUUCUUGACACACUUUCUUAUUUUCAUUUGAACAUCUGAACUAAAAAUACAUUCCAACUAAAUUAUAAUCAGAGAGGAAGAAUAUACGUAGUGUCUGCUAUGGUAAAGAAGUAAACAGUUUUAGUUUAUAGUUUGGAGUUAGGCUUUGGUAUUGUUAGGAUUCUAAUGAUCUUAUCAAUGGUGCUGCUUAUUCAGACUGAUACUAAUGAAUAGUCAAAUCAAUACUCCACUGAUGUGUGGAGUUGAACCAAAACAGUGGUUCCCAAACUAUUUAGGCCACACACACCCUUCUCCAUCCCAACUGGGUUCACCCACAAUCCCCAACAAACCAAAAAGACACAGUCUGUUUAUAGCUGCAUUUAAAUUGGACCAAUGACAGAACAGUUUGUUCACGUGUGGUGUUUGCAGCGUCGGAAAUACACAAGGGCAAAGGGCAAAAUUGCUCCUAAGAAAUAUAAUUUUGCCCCUGAAAUCAUGAGGAAAGGGGCAGAAAAUGCCCCCAUAAUUUCCUCCAACAAUAAUUAUAAUUUAGUUAACUUGACAAAAACAUACAACAAACAAAACCAUUAACAACUUGGUCCAGCUGCCAUAGAAUGUUUUGAUUCUCGCCUUGACGGAUGUCGCAUGUGCGGAAAGAAUCAAACUUUCUUAAAGGAGUGCUUCUUGAUCAGGCCUCAUCAGUGCGUGGCGAGCAAAUCCAGUGUCCGUCACCGUCUCGGGUUCAAAAGAAAAAAUCCACGUGACCAUCGAAAAAGAGAGAUUAGCUUGCGGUGGAGGAAGACCCCACAAGAAUCACCCGCAUUUUUUGCAAGGUUCUCGAGGGACUGUUGAAUGUUUUGUUAUUUGCUUUUACAGAAGCAUCAGAUGCAGAAGACAGCGUUCUGCAAAAUAAUCAAGCUGUUUGACAUUGCUUCACAUAUCAAAUAAAAUUGAAUGAGUCUGAUUUAUGUUUUCUGUUCAUUUUUGUUCAAAAUAAUCUAAGAAACACUUUGAAUCUGUAGAUUACUGCCUAGAUGUCGUAUUACUGUCAUUUGAUGAGAAAUGCAUAUACAGGAAGCCCAAAUAAGUAUAUUUGUUAUAUUUAACCGGGGUUUGAUGCUAUUUCACAAUUUUCAAAAAAUGCCCCCAAUUUCUUAUAAAUUGCCCUCUAAAUAAUAUGUACAUUGUAUCGUAUUAAUCUCAAAUCAGAAGGAAGCAAAUAAACUACAGGUGUAAAAAUGCCCUGUAACACUACAACGAAGUUUCAAUAUUUUGAAAAUCUGUCACUAUUAAACAGAAAUGACGGUGAGGACACGUGUACAGGCUCAAAAGCAGAUUACAUCACAUUUAAUUUACAAUUAACCAUAAAUAGUAAAUACGUUAUUUCAAAUAAAAAAUAUAAAGUUACACAUCACGACUGAUUGUCAGAGGUAGGAGAAUUUUAAAUUAUUUACACAGUAAACCCAUUAAAGAAGAAAUAGUGGCCCAUGUAUAGUCUCAAAAAGAUAGAAAUGAAGAGGAGUCCAUCUGAGGAUUUCACAUACAGCGCAGGGGGCUCAGGCUGCAGCAAGAGAGAAAGAGACGGACGGGUAACAAGUAAUAUGUGAGUAUUGUCUCUCUUUUUCUAUCGCCUCCAUUUCCUCCAUCUCCCUCUGUCCCUCUCUUUCAUGACUGAGCUUCAGAUGUCCACCUGACAGUUUCCCCGAUUUUAGCCAGUUCAGCAUAUUUGUAUGAAUGUUGCUGAAUGAACUUAGCUGUUAGCUGAUGUUAGCUGCACAAACUAAGCUAACGUUAACGUUAUGUGUACAUAAAAAAGUGCAUUUAUUAUUUAUUUAUUAAAAUAAGUUUUUAAUUUUAAAUUCUUACAAAAUAUAUUUUUAUGAUUCAUGUUUAUAUUUUGUUUAAAAACCCUAUUGAUUAAUGUUAGUGGUCUAACGGAGUAACAACUAUUACAUUUAUCCUCUUGCGCCCCCCUAGAGGCCGCUCGCGCACCUCAGUUAGGGACAGAACUAAAAGAUACUGAUCCAGUAUAAUACUCAACAAUCCAGUAUUAUUAACUGGUACCACUGAUUCACUUGAAAUUAAGAGACAUAAUUGCAUUCAUAUUUACCACUGGAAGGGUGGAAACAAAGUAAGGCUUUUGGGGCCUAAAUGAAAAGCUAACCUUUAUUCUCAUAAAAUAACUACUGCCAUUGGUUUAAGAUAUUUACAAUGUAAAAUAUCUUGUUAUUUCAUGACUGUUUCCCCAACUUAUGCAUUACAUGUCAUAUUUUAACCAGACACAUUGUCCUACCUCACUGAUGUUGAGCCUGAAGAGAGAAAGAGAAGUUCUGCUUUAUUCUUUCCUCAGCACAGCUGGUCAAUCACGGCGCCAAGUGGUCAAGCUCGUCGCCUUCUUGGUUUCGGAUAUUUAGCCUCCACCCGUCAGGGGAUUUGAUUUCAAACAUUGUUCGACAAACCAGACAAGCACUUUGGCUGAAGCAUACAAACAGCUUAAAGCCAUUACCACUUGCUAGAAAAUCUAAAACUCUGGGCUUUGUGAGACAUUUGUCAAGGUUUUACCGGAACCACUUAUUGACCUUUUAGUUCAAGUCAAGAUCUUACCUUCCACAGCAGACGUAUUCUAGCGGGAUCACAAGACCACACAAAAAUCCAUCUUGUCAGGCUUGUCAACCACAAGUGUUUAGGAAAUCUGUGUCCUGUGAGUAGUUACGUGGAAAGUCGUACAGAGGUGAGCAUUGAUGCUGCAAUACUAUCAGGUCAAUCAGAACUUGAGAAUUGUCUUUCUUGUACUCGCUGGCCUCGGCAGGAGAUGUGAUAUGAUUGGUUGAAGUUAGCCUGUGAUGGAGGUUGGUAUAGAAAUGGUGUAUCCAAUAACCUGCCAAUUAUUUUCAGAAAGCUCCAGCCCUUUCCAACUGUUUCCAAUGAUUGCAUCUCAGAUAGUUCUUACUGAUGUGAUAUGCUAAAGUAAUUGCUAGUACAAAUCUUAAUUAUUUUGUCCCAGUCAGUGUCUUGGUGUCAAAAGUAAUGAUACUUUUCAUUUUCCCAUUAUACUUCUGAUAGCAAAGGCAAGUUCUACAGCUGACAGGUAUAGGAUUUGUCAUUAUGUCUGAGAUGUUAAGUGUGUUUGACAAUUUGGCAUAGACAAGUGGGCCUUUUCUGGUAUCUACCCCUGAGUCCUACAGCUGUAGGUGCAACCGAAAUGUGACCAGAGUAAGAAAUUACACCGCCACCAAAAUUGUUUGUAAAUGGGACUAAAUCCAUCUCAACUUACUUCUUCAUAUUUUAUUUUACUUUAGAUAGUGAUUGCUGAUCCUCAACCUACUUUUAAUGUUAAUCCAGAAUUGUUAUGCGCAGUUGUUCAGGCUAACAAAUCUUUAAAAUUAAAUUAAAGACUGAGAACACUUUUAGUUUUAGCCUUUUAUCAUAUUUCGCUAUCAGCUGUUUUCACUAAAAAUGUAAACAAACGAUUGAAAUUUAAAUCUUGUCUUGUCAUUAUUUCGUCUUAAUUAUUUUAGCGGCAGUGCUAAUUCAGCAGAAAUGUAUAAUUUUAUGUAGACUUUUUAUCAAAUUGUCCUAUUCCCUCUCCAAAAUAACUCAUAGCGCCUCUCCUUCUGCAUGACCCUUAUAUUGAUUACUUGUGAAAAUGAAGGAAUUAAACUUAACUUUAUUCAUACACUUAUGCUUAGUUUUGGUUAUGAGUUUAGGUAAAAUCAGCAUAAUAUCUUAUACUAUAUGUCAAAAGUCCAACUCAAAGUGCUAGCUCCUUAAAGUACCCUGAAAUAGGCUUUGUCAACUUCACACUGAGAUUGUACCAUGGAAUUUAAUUAACAUGCCUAUCUAUCUUUUGCAAUUAUAGUACACGGAAUAUUGAUGAGCAACAUCAAUAUGUAUUUGAGAUUUAUCGGACCAAAUAAUUGAGCUUGCCUUUUUAUUUACUUUCAAAAGUAUGUGCUUUUUACAGUAAAGCACAUGAAGAAAGUGGAACAAAAAUUGAGGCGAAGCAAUCAGCUGAUAAAUCUUCCUUUUUUUCUUUUUUCUGUUUCCCUAUCAGACGUUAAAGCCUGAUAACCACUGUAACCCCACCACAUCCCCCCUUAUCUUGCCCUUCACAUCUGUGUGUCUGCACAGCCGCGAUAAGCAAAUCAAUAUCCUGUCACUUCUCAUUUUUACUAGCCCAAUUCUGCUCUCUGCACCUUCCACAAGGUGAAGCUCCUGCCUCACGGUCGGGGCUGGACGAUCUCUUUGUAGAAUAUUGUCUCUCAAGCAACUCUCGAUAGGCACUCCGGAUAAGUAGAACGACACCAACAUGUUGGCGCUAAUGCAGCCAAGAUAGAGGCUUGGCGAUGCUGAACUUUCUUCCCCAUUCCCCAGAUCACUCUUUUCAGACAGCAAAGAGUUGUCUUGUAAGAUUCUUAAUGUUGUGUAUUAUUUCAUGCUGCAUUGAGAAUGCAAUGAACUCCUACCUGCCCAGACACUGGUGGGAUCACAGCAGCUCCGAUUCAAUUUCUGAGUUAAUAUCAACUGACCUUUCAAAAAUAAAAAUUGUGAUAAAUUAACCUUAAAGCUCCAACCAAAUAAUUAUCAAAAAAAUGUGUAACUGUAAAAUGUCACUGCAGUGAUUUGUGGGUAUGUAUGCAAUUCAUUUAUUUGGCAUUGAUUCAUUUCAAUCAUCACAUUAUAUGUUGGUGCUGAAGACUUAGGAGAUAAUGUUUGAGUCCAUGCUCUACGUUGUGCAUAUUAAAUAAAAUAGCUGUGCCCUUAGCAAUAUAUGCACAGCCCAGAGGGAGUUAUGGGUCUGAAAUCACUAAAAACUUCAGCGGUUCGCAGUACUUCAUGAUAGAUGUUAAAAUAAUCUUACAUUCAUUGGCAACAAAAGCAAUUCCAGGCAGCACGGGGGGUUUUGGCGAGCAGGACUAAAUAAUGUUGUUAGGGGUUACAACUAAAUCACUGGAGGUUUAGAAAAAGUUCUAGACACCAUCGGGGUUGCUGCUCUUUUAAAUAAAAGACUCUGCUCGUCUAACUUUAUGAAGUAAAAUACCAUGCCAAAUUAAAAGAUCUAUUUUCAUGCUACUGCAAAAAUAGUCACAAAGAAUAUUAAAAUAUGUGUUUGUUUAUCCAUCUUGUCAAGUUUCUUUCUGUAGCUCAGUGUGCAUACUCUCAUUGGGCAUUUUCCCAAAUGCUUUCUUUUUGCCAAAAGUAAGGUUGAAGAAAUAUGACAUGCCAUGUUCAAGGAUAAACAAAAAAUAAUGGAAAGCCCAAUCUUUUCCGAGGACAGCUAAUAUUAUAUAUAUAACAGGAGAAGAUCAAAUUAAUUUAUUUGGAGCCACUCAAGCUUGUUAUUAGCACAUUUCUUGUCAAUGGGCAGCUGAGAGAUUAGUUCAACAUCCAGUGCCCAAGGCAGUGUCAAAUAACAGCAGACCCUGAUAUGAUUUUUAAGCUUCGCCACUGAAAUUAGGGCUUUCAACAAUGAGUUUUUAAUGUUAUUUAUUUAUACAUUUUUUAUCAUUCUAAAUGAACUGUGGACCAGAAUUUUCUGUCACUCCAAAGAAUUGUUAUGUCCCCAACUUGAAAAUGGCGGUCAAGGAGUGAGCAAUGAAAUUAAAUGACAUAUGAAUUAAGCCAUGGAUCAUCACUGGCAAGACAAUGACAUCGACCAAAUGUGUAUCCUUCAGAUUACUUCUUAUCACUACCAAGACACACACAGGUGUUCUGUUUUGGGUGAAUGAACACCAGCAUCUGAAUGCACAUAGCAAAACACUUCAUGGCCAGUUUGGAAGUUUGGAACUGUAGGCUAAAUUGGAAUUGACAGCCAUGUGUAAUCACCUGCCGUUUUAGCUGGAGGUGGUUUGCCUCGACAGGGAAACAGCCUUGUCGAUAACAAACUCAGAACCAAAAGCCCCAUUAAACUCUAACCCUAAAUGGGGUUCCAGACAUUGUAGGAGAAAUAUAGUAGUUAUACAUUCCCCGGUGAACUCAUUUGGAAACUACACUGUUAUAAGGGCCAUGUUUGGGUUGGACAGUUGUUUUACCCUCAUGGUCGAAUCACUUAACUAGUUACCAAAGGAAAAUCGGAUAUACCUAUCUACUAAAAGUAGGUACUUUUUCCCUCUACUGUGAAACUAUCUUAAAGGACCCAUCGUAUGCCCAUUUCACCACAAGUUGAUAUGGUUCGUUGGGGUCUUAACAAAAUGUCUGUAACAUACUUUAGUCAAAAUACCACAAGGAUCAUUCAAAACAGCACCCUUUUCACCCUGUCUGCAACGGCCCACCACAGUGACCUGUUUUGAGUGCCUUCUGAGCGAGAUGCACGUGCCUAGCUGUUGCUUGCCUAGCUGUAGAAAUAUUGCUACUGCAGACGAAGAUAGAAUCCUGCAUUCAUAUCGUUUUCAACCAGAAUCAGACCCUGAACAAGAAGAGGCUCCCAAAAAAGUUCAAGGGCUCAACGGGACACUUCUGAAUGUAAAGAGGGAAGUGGGAUUCACGGCACUGCCAGAGGACGUCCUGUGAGUAAACGGGUAUGGCGUCGUAGGUGCAAGAAAACAAACAUCACCUGAAGUUGGGUAAUAUGGAGCGGCAUCAGUCCGAGUCAAGAAUCUGUCAGAUCGCAAGCGCUACCACCCUGACUGCUGUGUCAGUCCUUCGCUGAUGAAGAGCUGCUUGGUUCAGGUCGAAUGUGGAUCGGUCACAGUAAACGGUGAUGGAGACAAAGCGUUCAGCAGAUGGCCG